GCACGAGUUACUUCUGCGUUUGACCGGAUGUGUUGUGAUUACAGCAGCUCUUUCGGUGCGUGUAAGCAGUGCGGAAAGCUGUGGCAGUGCAAUGGUGUACGGUGAAGCGCAGCGA
rnacentral:pre_miRNA from 1 species